rnacentral:rRNA from 1 species
UACGUAGGGUGCGAGCGUUAAUCGGAAUUACUGGGCGUAAAGCGUGCGUAGGCGGUUCGUUAAGUGCGUCGUGAAAGCCCCGGGCUCAACCUGGGAAUGGCGAUGGAAACUGGCGGGCUGGAGUAUGGCAGAGGGGGGUGGAAUUCCGCGUGUAGCAGUGAAAUGCGUAGAGAUGCGGAGGAACACCGAUGGCGAAGGCAGCCCCCUGGGCCAACACUGACGCUCAGGCACGAAAGCGUGGGGAGCAAACAGG